GAUGAACGCUGGCGGCGUGCUUAACACAUGCAAGUCGAGCGAAGCGCUUUGGUUAGAUUCUUCGGAUGAAGACCUUUGUGACUGAGCGGCGGACGGGUGAGUAACGCGUGGGUAACCUGCCUCAUACAGGGGGAUAACAGUUAGAAAUGACUGCUAAUACCGCAUAAGACCACGGAGUCGCAUGACUCAGUGGGAAAAACUCCGGUGGUAUGAGAUGGACCCGCGUCUGAUUAGGUAGUUGGUGGGGUAACGGCCUACCAAGCCGACGAUCAGUAGCCGACCUGAGAGGUUGAACGGCCACAUUGGGACUGAGAUACGGCCCAGACUCCUACGGGAGGCAGCAGUGGGGAAUAUUGGGCAAUGGGCGCAAGCCUGACCCCAGCAACGCCGCGUGAAGGGAAGAAGGCUUUCGGGUGUAAACUUCUUUUGUCAGGGAGAUGAACAGACUGUAACCUGACGAAUAAGCCACGGGCUAACUACGCGCCAAGC
rnacentral:rRNA from 1 species